rnacentral:rRNA from 1 species
GUGGGGAAUCUUGGACAAUGGGCGCAAGCCUGAUCCAGCCAUGCCGCGUGAGUGAUGAAGGCCCUAGGGUCGUAAAGCUCUUUCGCCUGUGAUGAUAAUGACAGUAGCAGGUAAAGAAACCCCGGCUAACUCCGUGCCAGCAGCCGCGGUAAUACGGAGGGGGUUAGCGUUGUUCGGAAUUACUGGGCGUAAAGCGCGCGUAGGCGGACUAUUAAGUCAGGGGUGAAAUCCCGGGGCUCAACCCCGGAACUGCCUUUGAUACUGGUAGUCUUGAGUUCGAGAGAGGUGAGUGGAAUUCCGAGUGUAGAGGUGAAAUUCGUAGAUAUUCGGAGGAACACCAGUGGCGAAGGCGGCUCACUGGCUCGAUACUGACGCUGAGGUGCGAAAGUGUGGGGAGCAAACAGGAUUAGAUACCCUAGUAGUCC